rnacentral:rRNA from 1 species
GGUUUAAUUCGAUGCAACGCGAAGAACCUUACCUGGUCUUGACAUCCACAGAACUUUCCAGAGAUGGAUUGGUGCCUUCGGGAACUGUGAGACAGGUGCUGCAUGGCUGUCGUCAGCUCGUGUUGUGAAAUGUUGGGUUAAGUCCCGCAACGAGCGCAACCCUUAUCCUUUGUUGCCAGCGGUCCGGCCGGGAACUCAAAGGAGACUGCCAGUGAUAAACUGGAGGAAGGUGGGGAUGACGUCAAGUCAUCAUGGCCCUUACGACCAGGGCUACACACGUGCUACAAUGGCGCAUACAAAGAGAAGCGACCUCGCGAGAGCAAGCGGACCUCAUAAAGUGCGUCGUAGUCCGGAUUGGAGUCUGCAACUCGACUCCAUGAAGUCGGAAUCGCUAGUAAUCGUGGAUCAGAAUGCCACGGUGAAUACGUUCCCGGGCCUUGUACACACC